rnacentral:siRNA from 1 species
UGUGACAACAUUGAUGUACAC